ensembl:lncRNA
GUCCCCGGACCCUCCUAGCCCUCCUCGGGCCCACCGCUCGCCCCCCGCGCCGGCCCCCCUCGCCGUCCGGGGCCGCUCGCCUCUCACCUCCGCGUGCCCGCCCGGGGUCAGCGUCUUCCCACAGCGCUCGCAGCGCAGGCACGGCCGGUGCCAGUCCUUGCCCAGAGACGUCACCUUCUCGGCUGCGGAGGGGACAGAGGAUGACGCCGGGGCGCCCGGGGAGCCCUCCCAGGCAGGGGCCGGGCGCAGCCACUCACCGAAGUAGACCCUCUUGUUGCAGCGAGGACACAUGUUGGGCUCCCCGGUGAACGUGGUGACGCUGGAGGCUGGGGGAGGGGCGGGGUCAGGGUCUGCCGGCGCCCGACCCCACCCCGAGCCACACACUCACCCCGCCCACCUUUGCUGGGCCCCUUCGGGGGGCCGCUGGCUUUCCGCUCCUCAGUUCGGGCCACCGGGACCUCGAUGGGGCCGGUGACCUGGGGUUUCUCGGCAGAGGGCUUCUCGUAGAUGUAGGAGCCGGCCCCUCCGAUGUUCACCCCUGGGUGGGGUUAGGCACUGGACACGGGAGCCCGGGCCCUCCCCACCCCCGCACCUCUCAGCCACCCCCAACUUCCCAGGAAGGCUCCUUCAGCCAUGGGGGGCCAGGACCGCAUCCCCAGAGGGCCGCAGUGGGGAAGGCAGGGAGAGUGCUUGUCCUUCCAGGAGGGAGGGGACCGCACAGGCAAGGGGAGAAGGGGACCUGGGCCGUCUGAGCUGGGCGGGGUGUCCCCACCGGCCUGGCCCAUGGGGGACCCAGUCUCACCUUUGGGUCCAAACAGCGUGGCAUAGCAGGGCUUGUGGCAGAAGGGCUUUCCAUCAUGCUAGGCAGAGGGCAGGGGUUGAGGGCGGGGGUCUGGCCCGGCUCCCCGCCCCCUCCCUGCCUGGGGGAGGCGCUUACCUCGGCAUGGCCCCCAGGGGUCAGCGUCUUGCUGCAGUGCUCGCACCUGAGGCAGAAUCUGUGCCAGUCUUUGCCCAGGGAGCUCACCUUCUCAGCGAAGUACACGGUCUUGUCGCACUUGGGGCACUUGGAGGCCAUGGUCCGUACGCCCAGUCGCCCCGCGUUCUCCGCGCGCGCCCGUCUCCCCGCCGCAGCCGCUGCCUCCGCCGCGCCCGCCGCGCCCGCCCCGCCCGCCCGGCUGUCCGCUCGCCCAUUGGCCUGCGGCCGGGGCGGGGCGUCGGGAGCCCGCCCCCGGGGUCUGGCCGCCCGGGACGCCGCGGGGGCAGGGGCGCACCUGCCGGGGCGGACUGGGGGCUACGGGACCCGCCUGGCGCCCCCUGGCCUCCGUCGCAGGGUGGCCUCUACCGGGCCCGCUCGGUCCUCGCCUGUUUCCAUGGCAACUUCGGGGCAACCGGCUGGGCCGCGGGUGGGGCUGGGACUCCGCGGCCCCCUGACGGCGGGCGUCCUGGCCAGCGGGGCCUCGGCCCGGAAGGGCGGCGUCGGGACACGCAGACUGACGCCCCGACGGCGCAGCAGCCCGCCCUGCCCGGUGCUGGCGUCCGGGUCCCCAGAGGACCCCACCCCACCCUGCUGCGUGCCGCCGCCCUCUUCCCUUUGUUGCUCGGUUUCUAUAGCAACGGCCUCGCUCUGGGACAGGAGCGGGAUUCGGGCGGGAGCGCCACCCGGGCCAGGCCGGGUCCCGGCCCCGCCUAGCACUGUCAGUGGUGCUGGAGGAGGGCAGGGCCUCCGCCACUCCCAAAAACAGCGCGAGAGAAACUGCUGGAAGGGGAUGAGGGAGAGGGUGCCUGGCAGCGAGGGGGCCCGCCGUGUGUACUGCAGGCUCUGAAGGUGCCCUCCCCAAGCUCUCCCACCCGAGGGCGAUGGCGGGGGAGCCGGGAGACAGAAGGCGUGGUGCCCCUAGGGUGCCCCCUCUGCGGGCGCAGCGGCCACGUGGGCAGACGCUGCCACCUGCGUUCCAUGCCAUUCCGCCCUGGAUGCCCGCCCCAUCUCUCCUCCAGACCCAGUAGCAUCGGGCCCAGGGCCUCUGACCUCGGCCUGUUGGCCCCAGAGCCUCCUGGAGGGCUGGGGAACUAGAGAUCUGCCAGCGGUCAGGGCCUCUCCCCAGGGGGCCUCCAGCCCCUCCCAGCAGGACUGCCUGGCCUCUCCCACCCCUCCCUGCCUCUGCCUGGUGCCAUGCAGAACCUGCCCGAGCCCCAGGGUCUGGGGACCCGGAGGUCAAGGCGGCCAUCUCCCAAGGGCUCUUUCCUGGGCCUCCAUUCCGGCUGAGCCUCAGGUCUGGCAGAUGGACAGACGCCUAAGCCCAGAUGACUGGGUCCAGUCUGGGCAGCGGGCUCCAGCUCCCUCACCCCCUGCCCUGUGUCUCUGAGGCUCUUUGCUGGACACCAGGUCCCCCCACACCCAGUUCCUCUCCCUGGCGGCGUCCAGGGCCUGCUUCUGGCCCCUGGUGCCAGUGUGUUCAGAGUGGGUGAGGGAGCUGGUCUCGCAGGGCAGUUUCACAGCAGCCCCCCAUCUGAGGCACCCCGAGGUGCUUCCCCUCCUCCCUGAGGCGCCCCCACCUCCCUGAGGCGCC